rnacentral:tRNA from 2 species
GCACUAGUAGCUCAGCCUUUAGAGCGUCG